AGUGAACGCUGGCGGUAGGCCUAACACAUGCAAGUCGAACGGCAGCACAGUAAGAGCUUGCUCUUACGGGUGGCGAGUGGCGGACGGGUGAGGAAUACAUCGGAAUCUACUUUUUCGUGGGGGAUAACGUAGGGAAACUUACGCUAAUACCGCAUACGACCUACGGGUGAAAGCAGGGGAUCUUCGGACCUUGCGCGAUUGAAUGAGCCGAUGUCGGAUUAGCUAGUUGGCGGGGUAAAGGCCCACCAAGGCGACGAUCCGUAGCUGGUCUGAGAGGAUGAUCAGCCACACUGGAACUGAGACACGGUCCAGACUCCUACGGGAGGCAGCAGUGGGGAAUAUUGGACAAUGGGCGCAAGCCUGAUCCAGCCAUACCGCGUGGGUGAAGAAGGCCGUCGGGUUGUAAAGCCCUUUUGUUGGGAAAGAAAAGCAGCAGGUUAAUACCCCGCUGUUCUGACGGUACCCAAAGAAUAAGCACCGGCUAACUGCG
rnacentral:rRNA from 1 species